rnacentral:sRNA from 1 species
CGAGAUGUAGGUUCAGGAGUAUUUCUAGGGGUCUUGAAAAAGGGCAGGACCCAGCCUUGUUCAGUGAAGGCAUCGAUAUGGGGGCUCAGGAGUAUAUGUUGGGGGAUCUAACGAGGGCAAUACCUAGACUCAUUCAGUGCAGGGAAUGAGAUGUUGGCUUGGGAGUGUUUGUCAGUGUCUUGAACAAGUGUAGAACCCAGUCAAGUUCAGGGUCGAGACCAAGAUGUGGGUUCAGGAGUAUGUGUUGGGG